UACAGAGGGGGCAAGCGUUGUCCGGAUUUAUUGGGCGUAAAGAGCGUGUGAGGCGGCUUGGUAGGUCUUGCGUCAAAACCUGAGGCUCAACCUCAGUUCGCGUGGGAAACCACCUAGCUAGAGUCCGGAAGAGGAGAACGGAAUUCCCAGUGUAGCGGUGAAAUGACGCAGAUAUUGGGAAGAACACCAGUGGCGAAGGCGGUUCUCUGGGACGGUACUGACGCUGAGACGCGAAAGCGUGGGGAGCGAACAGG
rnacentral:rRNA from 1 species